rnacentral:rRNA from 1 species
UAUUCCAGCUCCAAUAGUGUAUAUUAGAGUUGUUGCAGUUAAAAUGCCCGUAGUUGGAUUUCUGCUGUGGUCAUCCGGUACCGCCCGUACGGGUGCGCACCUGGUUUGGCUGCGGCUUUCUUCCUGUAGCCGUCCGCGCUUAAUUGCGUGUGUUGUGUUGCGGAACUUUUACUUUGAGAAAAAUAGAGUGUUUCAAGCAGGCUUGUCGCCCUGAAUACUUCAGCAUGGAAUAAUAGGAUAGGACCUUGGUUCUAUUUUGUUGGUUUCUAGGACCAAGGUAAUGAUUAAUAGGGACAGUUGGGGGCAUUCGUAUUUAACUGUCAGAGGUGAAAUUCUUAGAUUUGUUAAAGACGAACUACUGCGAAAGCAUUUGCCAAGGAUGUUUUCAUUAAUCAAGAACGACAGUAGGGGGUUUGAAGACGAUUAGAUACCGUCGUAAUCUCUACCAUAAACUAUGCCGACUAGAGAUAGGGAAAUGCCUACCUUGGCUUCUCCUG